AGAGUUUGAUCAUGGCUCAGAUUGAACGCUGGCGGAAUGCUUUACACAUGCAAGUCGAACGGUAGAGGGGGCAACCCCUCGAGAGCGGCGAACGGGUGAGUAAUAUAUCGGAACGUGCCCAGUCGUGGGGGAUAACGUAGCGAAAGUUACGCUAAUACCGCAUACGAUCUACGGAUGAAAGCGGGGGAUCGCAAGACCUCGCGCGAUUGGAGCGGCCGAUAUCAGAUUAGGUAGUUGGUGGGGUAAAGGCUCACCAAGCCAACGAUCUGUAGCUGGUCUGAGAGGACGACCAGCCACACUGGAACUGAGACACGGUCCAGACUCCUACGGGAGGCAGCAGUGGGGAAUUUUGGACAAUGGACGCAAGUCUGAUCCAGCCAUUCCGCGUGCAGGAUGAAGGCCCUCGGGUUGUAAACUGCUUUUGUACGGAACGAAAAGGUUUCCAUUAAUACUGGGAGCUCAUGACGGUACCGUAAGAAUAAGCACCGGCUAACUACGUGCCAGCAGCCGCGGUAAUACGUAGGGUGCAAGCGUUAAUCGGAAUUACUGGGCGUAAAGCGUGCGCAGGCGGUUAUGUAAGACAGAGGUGAAAUCCCCGGGCUCAACCUGGGAACUGCCUUUGUGACUGCAUAGCUAGAGUACGGUAGAGGGGGAUGGAAUUCCGCGUGUAGCAGUGAAAUGCGUAGAUACGCGGAGGAACACCGAUGGCGAAGGCAAUCCCCUGGACCUGUACUGACGCUCAUGCACGAAAGCGUGGGGAGCAAACAGGAUUAGAUACCCUGGUAGUCCACGCCCUAAACGAUGUCAACUGGUUGUUGGGUCUUCACUGACUCAGUAACGAAGCUAACGCGUGAAGUUGACCGCCUGGGG
rnacentral:rRNA from 1 species